AAAUGGCCGCAGUAUUUUAACUGUGCAAAGGUAGCAUAAUCAUUAGUCUUUUAAUUGAAGGCUUGUAUGAAUGGUUGGACGAAAUAUUAACUGUUUCAUUAAAAUUAAUUUAGAAUUUUAUUUUUUAGUUAAAAAGCUAAAAUUUGUUUAAAAGACGAGAAGACCCUAUAGAUCUUUAUAUUUAAUAUUUUUUUAAGAAUUUAGAUUAUUUAAUUUAUUAAUAUAUUAAAUAUUUUGUUGGGGUGACAUUAAAAUUUAAUUAACUUUUAAUUUUUUUUUUACAUUGAUUUAUGAAUAAAUGAUCCAUUUAUAGUGAUUAAAAAUUUAAGUUACCUUAGGGAUAACAGCGUAAUUUUUUUGAAGAGUUCAUAUCGAUAAAAAAGAUUGCGACCUCGAUGUUGGAUUAAGAUAUAAUUUUGGGUGCAGCAAUUCAUAAAUUAAGUC
rnacentral:rRNA from 1 species